AGCUUUGAGCAGUGGGGAUAUCGUAACCAAUGAGGUACUUCCGAGGUGUGAUUAUUGCUAGUUGAAAUUCGAACAUAUGCGUAGAAGGAUUUUUUUCGUCAAAUUUAACCGUCUGAGGGAUUCUGGAAAAAAAGAUUUCUUU